AAAACCCACAAUCAGAAAUACUUUUUCAUUUUAUGUCUGUCUCUCCAGGUGACAGAAGAGACCCAAAAGGAAGAGUGCAACUUCUUCAGCUUUGCCAAAGACAUCUGGGAUUAGAGUAUUGAUGUUACACGUGGUAUGGAGUGUCUCUAGGGCACGGAAGAAUCCAAAGGCAAGCAUUUGAGGUAUGCAGACGACCUUGAGCAAAGAGGAUAGAAACUAUUUCCAUGGAAGAUGCUCCCCAUUGAUGACUUGACAUUAGCACUGAUCAGCCAUUCAGUUGGAUAGUCCCGAACAACUCUUCAGGAACUGUUGGAGGAAUUUUUUUAAUUUUUGAAACCUAUCCAAAGACUAAAGAACCACUGAUCAUACAUUGGCACCUACUAUACCAAAUCAUCACAUCAGUAGAUGAGCAAAACUACCAACACAAAAGAACGUCCAAAGAGACAAUCAGAAGAUUUGCUGUGAACCACACUUCCAGGAGGUGAUGUCAGCAAAUAAAGAAGCGGUGGUUUUAGACUUAAACA
rnacentral:lncRNA from 1 species